GACGAGGGAUCCUAGCGUUGCUCGGAAUCAUUGGGCGUAAAGAGGGCGUAGGUGGCUUAGCAAGUCAGGUGUGAAAUCCCCGGGCUCAACCCGGGACGUGCAUUUGAUACUGCUGAGCUUGAGUGUUGGAGAGGUCAUCGGAAUACCUGGUGUAGUGGUGAAAUACGUAGAUAUCAGGUGGAACACCGGAGGCGAAGGCGGGUGACUGGCCAAACACUGACACUGAGGCCCGAAAGCGUGGGGAUCAAACAGG
rnacentral:rRNA from 1 species